rnacentral:SRP_RNA from 1 species
GAUUCGGACUCAUGCGGUAUUAACGCCCAAAUCUUGUCAGGACCUGACGGUAGCAGCAAUACGGGAUGCUUAACACAGGCGUGAUAUCCGAAUCAUC